UGGGAAAUGUAGUUCGUGUAAUCCUUAUAAAUACACGGAAACUGAAAUUGGACUUCCUCUUUACUGCAGUAGCCUGGAGAAUACAGGCACUUUGAUUCGCCAUGCCCGUUGCCAGGAGCUGGGUUUGUCGCAAGACAUAUGUUACUCCCCGCCGCCCCUUCGAGAAAUCCCGUCUCGACCAGGAGCUUAAACUUAUUGGCGAGUAUGGUCUGAGAAACAAACGUGAGGUGUGGAGGGUGAAAUUCACCCUGGCUAAGAUCCGCAAGGCAGCCCGAGAGCUGCUCACACUGGACGAGAAGGAUCCUAAGCGUCUCUUUGAAGGUAACGCCCUACUCAGACGUCUGGUGAGGAUUGGGGUAUUGGAUGAGGGCAAGAUGAAGCUCGAUUACAUCCUGGGCCUGAAGGUGGAGGAUUUCUUGGAGAGGAGGCUGCAGACCCAAGUGUUCAAACUGGGCCUUGCCAAGAGCAUCCACCAUGCCCGUGUCCUUAUCCGCCAGAGGCACAUCCGAGGACCUCCCAUACUCGCUCAGCUCUGUGUGGUUUAACAUGUCAAAAAGGUCAAUUCGGUUAUAAACCGUAUACCUUGUCAAGACUGCCCAGAGCCAAUCCUCCCAAGCAAGUGGGGCAAAAAGGUUCAGCAAGGUCAAUGCAGAAAGACUGUAUACCUUGUCUAUAAGACUGCCCCGAGCCAAUCAAAAUGGGUCUGACAGCGCUAUUUGGCUGACAGUGUGCGCAAGCAGGUGGUGAACAUCCCUUCGUUUGUGGUGCGCCUGGACAGC